AGACGAUUUAGCCAAUCAGAUGUUGCCUCAGCAUGACGCGUCAUUUAAAAACGGAACGGAAGUGACGGUUCGUCAGACAGUCAAAAGAAAAAAAAACUACAGUACUCGACGUCGAGGCUUAUUAAAGAAUAAUAACGUUUAGCAUCUGAGUGAGGAUGGUGGAAAGCUGUUAAUCCUCCCAGAGAAAGGAUAUCAAUCUGCUGUCGUGCUGGCAAACUACUUGCAACGCUUCAGCCUGAUGUUUGUCAGCGGAUGAACGGCCAAGUAGUUUACACCAAAAUGGGAUGGCAGGAAGCUUAUAUCCACUUACUGUCCUGAUGGCCAACUGUUUGGUUUGUGAGGUUUGUAAUAUCGGAGGAAUUGCAAUGUUAAGUCCUGCAAUUGUUAACAUAGCCAUUUAUGAAAUAAAGUAUUUGUAACUGAAUGGUAUUAAAUGUGUUCCACGUUUACAAAUGGACAAAUUAGGUCCUGUCCACACGGGAAAGCUUUUAGGUGGAAAGGGUAAAGUUUGUUUUAACCUUUCAUUCAUGCGGAAACGGCGUUAUGGGUCGCCUGAAAAGAUAAAUUGUGAAAAUGUGCUCUCGAGUGGGAAUAUUUGAUAACACCACCAUAUCGCUAUCUCGACAAGCAAACCACUACUUUUUCAUAUCAGUGUGCCAUCAUAUGACCAUAUAAAUGAUAAGACUGCAUGCAACCGCUGCUAGCAACAAUGGCGUGCCUAUGCUGUAUUUACGGUUUUCACAAUGUACCUGCAUGGUAUUUGUCUUAAAUCCAAUAAUUGAAAUGUAAUGUUUUCAAAGGGUACCAUACUUUUUGGGAAUAUUGUCUAUCAUUCACAAUCCUUAUGUAGGACAAACAUGUUUUGCUUUGUUUAUGCAUGAUUCUAUUUAGUAAAAACACUGGGGAAAACGGGCACAUUCAUAAUAUAUAAUUAUGUAUUUUGCUCAUUUUAAGCAUACGGUGGCGCAUUAAUUUCACAUACCCAUCUCGUUUGCGUUUCCUUUUUACGACACUAUUAAUCAUAGCAGACUUCAUAAACAACUAAGACUACCAUACUUUGGUGCUAAUAAUAAUGAACCAGAACCUUAUAUUUUUGAGCCUGAAUUUAAGGAGGAUGAUUUACAAGUUUUAGAGACUUUGCUAAACAGGUCUAGCUUUAGUGAAACUAAGCAUCAUGCAGCUGUAAUGCCAAGUGCUGAACAAGAUGUACAAACUAUGAACAUAAUAAAAAAUAACUUACUGUGCAAUGUCUGCUCUCACUGGGAAACCGACUGAUGGGAUGCUUAUAUCUUCCCAUUUAGAUGAGGAACUAAUCAUAAUCAUUGGGCAGGUAAUAAAAGGUGCGGCAAAAGAGCGUCUUUUCGUGUCUUCCUUGCCAUUUCCAGGUAUAAAUUGGAUGUCAUAGUUGACAAACUUCUGUUAAUGGCUACAACCUUCUACUGUCCAAUCUAGAAUUGGCGUUCAACAACCCAGAGGCGACGCAGCUUAGACUAGUUGGCUCUCUAAUGAGGGGGCUGCUAAAAAGACAAUUCAUGUUUCAAGAUUGUUUAUUGUCAUAUGCACAGUUAAACAUGUUUGACCGUUUGCCGUACAAUGAAAAUCUUACUUUGCUAGUCCACCCUUCAACAAGUCACACGGUACUUGCCUUUAAAAAUAAAAAUGUAUAUACAAGGAACAGUAAGUAACAUAACAUUAUUGCACAUUCUGGUUGUUAGCGAUUAUAAUAUCAGUAAAACUUGGUUAAUAUUCAGGUCACCAGAUGUAAAUUGAGUAUUGUUGGCAUUUUUAGGAUGUUUUUUUUAUAGGGCUUAAUGUGAUCAAUAGAUAUCUCUUGCUAGCCAGCUCAUACUGGCUGUAUUUUAUUAACUAAAAUGUAUUUCAGGAAAAAAGCUCAACAUAUUUAUUCUUGUCUUACAUGGGGUUGUGAAUGGAAGACAAAAUUCCCCCCCUGGAAAAGUGCACUUCCCCUUAAAAAUGUAGUUAAAAUGACCAUGAAAGGCUUUUAAAAUAUAUUGUCAAAACAAAUGUGUACAGUAUAUAUAUCUGUCUUGCUUUUAAAUGUUAAGAUUUUUUGAGGGUGCUAUUUAUAAAUUUAAAACGGGGGAAGAAUAUGGCCAGAAUGUUGUGCACAAGCAUAGUGAGCAGUAUUUUAUAGCGUUUAGCUAGCGAAGGUGUUAGGAAAGCCUACUUGGAAGCAAAGCAGAGUUCAACAAUUUGUUGUAAAAUAAGUUUUCUAUUUCCUUCAUUGUAUUACAUAAUUUUCACCCAGUUACAUUAUCCUGUCGGGGCGUAACUCGUUUAAAUCGACUUUGUGUAGAUGCAUUUCUUCUUUUUAAAUCUGGCAGUAGAUGCAAAAAAACAUUCCUGUGUGGACAUGGCCUAAUAUUAAUUACAACUUCUUUAUACAUCAUACCAAUUAAAUAUGACCUGCGGAUUUGCAUUCAGGAUGGGUGGUAACACAAUAUUGUGAAGACAAAUAACUGCACUGCAAACAUAUUCACAUACAACUGACACGGGAGCACUUUUCUGUACUGUAAUGUUUGUCAGUGCAAAAUUGGUUCAUACUGAGUUUACUGACCUUGAUUUUGUUGUUGGCAAUAAAUAUUUUGACAAACA